rnacentral:lncRNA from 1 species
ACAAGAAGCAUUUCCAAAGGUAGGUAGGAGUAUCAUAAUCUCUGGUCAGAAAUGGAGGGACAUUGGUGUCAUGUCAUUCAUUGACUUCUUUAUUUUUUUGCUGGUCCAGUCUUUGAUGGAAGAGGAAAUGGUGUGGUGAUUGGUGAGCGCUGAUCACUUGAUCAUCGGUGACCAUCUUUGGAGUUUGGACCAGUUGAUGCUUUCAGCUUUUCUUGCCCUCCUCAUUUGAUUCCUUUCCUUUUCUUCUGCAUCAAGCCGGUUCCUUCCAGUUUAUUCCCUCGUUCUCUGUAUGACUGUAUCCACCAAUUUCACCCUCGUUUAAAGUGGAUGCACGCUUUAGGGCAGCAAAGAUACGAUACUAUACGAUCUUAAGCAUACUUU